CCUGGUAAAAGAGAGACUUGAACUCCCCUUAACGAAUUUACAAUCCACCGCCUAUACUCUCGGCCAUUUUACCU
rnacentral:tRNA from 1 species